UACGUGGGGUGCGAGCGUUAAUCGGAAUUACUGGGCGUAAAGCGUGCGCAGGCGGCUUUGCAAGACAGAUGUGAAAUCCCCGGGCUCAACCUGGGAACUGCAUUUGUUACUGCCAGGCUAGAGUACGGCAGAGGGAGCUGGAAUUCCGCGUGUAGCAGUGAAAUGCGUAGAUAUGCGGAGGAACACCAGUGGCGAAGGCAAUUCGCUGGGCCUGCACUGACGCUCAUGCACGAAAGCGUGGGGAGCAAACAGG
rnacentral:rRNA from 1 species